rnacentral:lncRNA from 1 species
GCGAGGGAGGGAGUGAUGAGAUUCCGCUUUCUUGCAAUCUUGCUCGACUCCGCUCUGCUUUGCUCUGCUCUGUUUCCUUUUUUUCUUGGGAGAUGAAGACGAUGGAUGGCUACUGCCCAACCCCUCUCUCUCUCUCGAUCAGAUCGAUCAGGCACGAUCACUCUCUCAUGUUUCUCUCUCUAGAGUCGCCUGUACAAGUAGCCGUCGUACAGGUGGAGGAGAAGGCGUUGGGAGGAGGAGGGCGGUGCUCGUCUGCUCGACACGGCGCGGCGCGCUCU